GCCUUGAAUUAUGACACGGAGGGCACAAAAAGAGAGAAACGAUACCUUGCAGCUUCAUUCACAAGACCUGACCGCUGAAGACGACUGACUGGCAGUGGAAAACGAACCUAAAAGAAAACAAUAAUGAACGUUCGAGCUUCUAUUCUCUUGUUAUUGGUGGUUGCACUCGCCUUAGCGAGAGCGGCCGAUAUAUCACGUUGUGAACGCGAAGGCGAAGAUGAGUGCAAAUGUGAAAAGUACUACGAAGGAAUUCCAGGACAGGGUUGCUCAGAAGGUCGCCAUAAUUGCGAUGAUUCUCGAACCUGUUACAUGAACCAUCCAUGGCAUGCCUGUUGUUUGGAUUAGGAAGAAGAAGAUCCGUAAUCGAUGGCCGAAUAAUAGCAUAUUCGAGAACAUGCUUGUAUGAAAUAAAACUAGAACUAUAGAAACAGGUCAUCAACAGUGUAUCUGCAUUUCAUAAUAUUGGCAUAUAGACUAUAAAAUA